UAAUUUAUUUAGAGGUUUACGUUGAAUUUGCGUAGUUCAAUUGGUUUAUUUGGAGGUUUGCGUUGUAUUUGGUAUGCGAGUCUAUUUCUGUUUUGGCUGAUUUUGAUUGUAUUUUAUUUGCAGGUUUUGAUUGGUUUGCUUGGAGGUGAUUUGGUAAGCGGUUUAAGUUAUGUUUUGGCUGCUUUUAAUUAGUUUUAUUUGUAGGUUUAUAUUUUCUGGA
rnacentral:sRNA from 1 species